UAAAUUUAAUUAUUAAAUAUGAGCAAUUGAAUUUUAAAAAAAAAUCUACUAUUUAAAAAUAUGUUUCUUCCAAAAAACUAAUGUGAUAAAGUAUGGAAGGCGCUCAAAUUAUUUUUAUUUGUGUGGUUGCAUUUUCUUUAGAAUUUUGUAAGUUUAAUAAGUAAAAUUAAAAUUUAUAUUAAGAUUGGUUGGGGUAAAAAAAGAUUUCUCCCAUGCGCUGUGUGUGUUUUUGACAUAUACGUUUUAAUUGUAUUAUUCAUCUAGGUACUACUAUCCAGCAUUCUAGUAAUUUGAUGAGUUACUAGCUAUGGAUGAAAAAAUGUGGUGUUGUGUCAGUGUUUUAAUAGUACAUUGUUUUAAAAUUCAGGCAAUAUGCAAAUACAUGAAGUUUUUUAAAAGCAACAAAUGUUUUAUUUAUUUGUUUUUUUAAUGAUAAGUUUUUGUAUGGAUGCGUUAGAAAUUGAUGUAGUUUCCUGUUUUUAUUUUACAUAUUAAUUGUAGUGUGCUGUUCAUAAUGCUUAUGUUUUUACUUUGUGAGUAGAUCUGAUUGUUUAAGGACAACCACUAUAAAUAGAAAUGUCAAUGGUAUUUAGAAUGCAAUUUUAUAAGCAUGGGAACAUCUCUUUUUCAUUUACAUAAUUUGACCCUGCCUUCUAAGGCAUUGUUCAUUGACUUUAAAAAUUUUGUUUUGUUUAGAUGUUAACGUUUGUGGAUAGGUUAGUUUAAAUGAUGCCAUUUAUUAUGUUGUUGUAUUAGAAUAUUAAAGAUAUGUCAUCAACAUUACAUGCAGUUGUGACUUAUCUCUGUGUCACAAGUUUAUUUACAUGGUAAACACAGAUCCAUUUGUUUUCUACUUUUAUCUGCUGACGAGCAUUUAAUUAUGACCAAAGAGCUGUAACUCAGAAAGUUUUCUAGAAUAUGAAGUACCAUGUUUCUUUUCUAAUUAUACACUUACUGGAAAAGUGUUCAUGAUGAAAAUAAGCUUAACACUAUUAAAAUUUGUCCACUCAUUUUGUGUGUAUGUACCUAUUGUAUUUUCAAUAUCUAUUUAUCAUUUACAUAAUUAGAAUAGUAUGAAAUAUACACAAUUAAUAAUCUCCACAUGUCAGAACAUCUUUUUGAAUGUAUCUGUAUCGAUGGUAGCAAGAAGAUUAUAUAUUUUUUUAAAGUGUACUGAUUCUGACAAAAGUCUUGUGUAAAACAACUUUUUGAAUUAAUAUUUUGAAUGUUAACAAAAAAAUACUUUUUGAAUUAUAGUUUCUUUGUCAUCAAGUUUGUGCCAUAGUCACUGGAAAUCUUUUUAAACUUUGAUUUUAUAAAAUAUUUUUUUAUGACAUUUAAUCCAA
rnacentral:lncRNA from 1 species